rnacentral:rRNA from 1 species
GAUGAACGCUGGCGGCGUGCCUAAUACAUGCAAGUCGAGCGAACAGACGAGGAGCUUGCUCCUCUGACGUUAGCGGCGGACGGGUGAGUAACACGUGGAUAACCUACCUAUAAGACUGGGAUAACUUCGGGAAACCGGAGCUAAUACCGGAUAAUAUAUUGAACCGCAUGGUUCAAUAGUGAAAGACGGUUUUGCUGUCACUUAUAGAUGGAUCCGCGCCGCAUUGGCUAGUUGGUAAGGUAACAGCUUACCAAGGCAACGAUGCGUAGCCGACCUGAGAGGGUGAUCGGCCACACUGGAACUGAGACACGGUCCAGACUCCUACGGGAGGCAGCAGUAGGGAAUCUUCCGCAAUGGGCGAAAGCCUGACGGAGCAACGCCGCGUGAGUGAUGAAGGCCUUCGGAUCGUAAAACUCUGUUAUUAGGGAAGAACAAAUGUGUAAGUAACUAUGCACGUCUUGACGGUACCUAAUCAGAAAGCCACGGCUAACUACGUG